GCAUGUACAAAUAUAUAUAACUAGAUAUACAGGGUGUCUCGAGCAACUGGACCAGACUAUAAUUCUGAAAUAAUGGAGGGUAGAAAAAAAGUUUCAUUAGGUAAAAUUAAGUAGUUUCGAGUGAAUCACGACCUGAUUUUCAUGAAAUUCAUCAUAUGAAAGAGAAGGAAAUAAAUUAGAAUAAACAUAAGGUUACUGCGUCACAUCUUUCCUUGUCAUUCGUACAGUCAGUUCUGCACUUCAGAAUUAAAGUUAAAAUGUUUUCUAAGCUAAUAAAUUUUCGACGUAAGCAUCAUAAUACUCUCUAAAAAAAUGUUUCUAUUUCCUAGGGGGUCAGAGUUGUAGUUUGACCUCGUUGCAUGAAACACCUUAUAUAUACGUAUAUAUAUAUAUUAUAUAUUACGACAAUGUGUGUAUUUAUGUAGAGUAUAUCAAGAUGAAGAACUGCAUGUCUAAUAUAAUGCGUCUUAACGCGCAUGCGUGCUUCGUCAUUUGUAUAUUUAUCUUUAAACAGAAUGAUCUCGAAAGUUUUUGCAAGGUAAGAAUUCAUAAUAUUAGAUUAAGGUAAAAAUUAGAAAAAAAAGUAAUAUCUUCAAGUUCUUUUAAAUUUUGUACAAUUCCAUCUUCUGUAUAAUAAAUAAAACCUGCAAUAAGGAAGAUGUCGCGCAUUGAAGACGCAACCAUACCUCGUGACGAUUAUUGAUUGCGUUUUGGAACACGCUUAAGUUUAAAUUGUUUGGUAACAAUUUUUAAAAAUCAUUGAAGAUAUUGUUAACGCACUAUUUUGAAUAACAACAGUAUUUUUAUCAAUGCAUCUAAUUUGUGUAAAUUAAUAAAUAUAAUAGUUAUAUUCAAAAUAAUUACAAUUACAAACAAUUAAAACGUAAUUAAGACACUCGUAAAGUUUACUGGCUACAAAUUAAUAUUAUUCAAAUAUAAAUUGGAGCAUAAUUGUCAACGUAGUUAUCAAUGGGAAAAAAGGUUCGUAAUAAAAUUGAAAGUCAUCAUUGGGGAAGUAAGUACUUUUAUCGGUGACUCUCAAAUGUAUGUAAUAAUAAAACUACAUUAGAUAAUGACUAUCAUUUCCUGGCGACACCAUCAAGGUCUCCCUCUGCUCUCGGCACAUCUAUUCAAGCAGAGCGUAUGAUUAAAAAAAAGUUUUUUUACAUUUCUAAUUACUAAAUACGUAAAUAGAAUACGAAAUAUAUGUACAGCGAAUAAUAAAAUUUCUGUCAUAUUUUCAACUGUAAUAAUUUUGUAACUUUGUACUUCAUAAAAAAUUUAUCUCACAAAAACAACAAAUUUUUAAAGUUGAAAUUGACCCAAACAAAGAUACAAAGAUUUAAAGCUUAUAUUGUCUAAGAUAAAAUGGUAUUAUAAAAUUAUAAUCUUGCCUUCCUUCUUAUCUUAUUAAUCUCUAAUCUAAAAAUCUUAUCAGGAUUCAUGGACGAGGAUGGAAAUACUCUUAGGAUUUCGUGCAACUAUAAUUAUUAGAUAGUUUUACAAUUAUUAUAUAUUUUCUAUUAUAAUCAUUUUUAUUUCUUAUAAUUUACUGUUCUUCGUUAUCUCGUAUUUAUAUUUAUAUAUAUAUUUAUAUUUAUAUAUAAAACACAUAGCUAUGAAAUAUUAAGUUGUGUGUAGUGUAGCAAUGCGACUCCAAAUAGUUUAAAAAAUAUCCACUAAAUGCACAUGCAUUAAACUAGAAAAAAGCGAACAGUGUCAUCGAUUUCAUUGUAUGUUUCUUUCUUCUUUUGAUUAAGAUCGUUAAUUACUGCGUUUCGUUCUUCUUGCCUAGGCGUAUACUGCGUUACUCAUGAUCGUAUGUACAAAUUAGUGAAGCGCACAGUACAAUAUAUAGUAAAAAAGAUGAGACGUUUUACAAACGUAUUCCCAACAUGUGCUACUCAGAGGUAUCGUCGAGAGAAAUAUGAUUAUUACCACGUCAAGAAAAAGUGCAUUCCAAGAAAAAUGGAACAAGUCGACGUCGAUUGAAAUGAGUCGCAUUGUAAAUGGACAACAUCUGAACAGAAAAGAGGGCGAGAGCUUUUAGUAAAAAUGAAUAGUUCUUAAAUAAUCGUCACUGAAAAAGAUGGUCAAAAACGCGGUUCUUAAGUUUCAACCUUAAACCAUUCUUACACUCUAUAUGAAACAAAAAACAACCGUGAUAAAUAUUUAAAAAUGUCAAAAGAUAAGACAAAAGGAAAAUAAUAAAGAAUACGAAAGUUAACAAUCGCGUAAAUCGCAACGUGAAUACGAUAUCAGUUAAUAUCAAGCGAGACGCUUCAAAUGGAAUCGAUACCAUUCCCGAUUCUUCUCGUUGAUAAAAGCUCGCUUGAUAAAAACUGCAUCUCACACGCAGAAACAUGUAUAAAGAACAAUUAAAUAUUAUCUCUUCGUUCUAUUCUUAAUUUCGUCGAAUUGUGAUAUUUUGGGAUCGUAUAUAAGAGGAAACUCUUAAAAUUAUUAAACAAUGUGUGUUCCAUUUCUUUUUUUUUAUAAUCCUCCAAUGCGUAUUCCCUUAGGGCGUAGCAUAUAUUUAACAAUUUUUUAAAAGCUAAUUUAUAUUUAUAUUUAUAUAUAAUAUUUAUAUAUUUAUUUAUAUAUUUAUAUAUGUAUUAUGUCCCAAGUUAGUGUGCCGCUUAAAUAUAUAUAUGGCAGUCAUCGAAACGCAAACGAAUCGUUUGCGGAGAAACGCGAAAUUAAAAAAAAAAGAGGUGCUGGGCGAGAGAAAGUGUAUAUACCGGUGUACAGACCUUACAAAUGAACACGUGCAUCGAUUGAGCUGCUUAAAUUGAUAAAACAGGGCAGAUAUCGUGAAUUAAAGAACAACGUUUCUUUCCUUCUUAAGACGAGAGCAACAACGCGUAUCAAGUUACUGCACAAGCUCUAAUAAGAGUUUCUUCUAAAAUAGAAACAUUAUAGCACUCUAAGCUGCUACAAAUUUUUAUCUACGUAGUAUAAAAAGGGCUAGAAGAUACUUUUCAAUUAAACGAGAGUUAUAUCUCAUAAGGCAUUGCUUCUCGAGUUCCUCUUCAACAGCGAACGUCUGUUCAAAAAUGGCAUUUACGCGACUCGUAGAAACAUAGAAAAUUGUUCGAAGCAAUAUUAGCAAAUACAUACUGUAAAAAAUAGAUCACUUAUCGAGCUACGUUUCACUGCUGUUAUUCGAUUCGUUACGUGUCAUUGCUUGAAAAUGUGAUCUACUGGCUUAUCCAGAACAGUCUGAAUUAAUUUUAUAAUCGAAUUCUUAUCUGACUUAUAAUAUGCAGAACUUUUGCAGUAACUGAUAUCAACUAUGAUAUCAACUAAAUAUUACAGACAAACGAAGGAUCGCCUUGGCUACAUUGUAAAAUAAUAUCAAAACGCAAGAUACGCCCACGUAUUAAAUUACAAAAUCUAAAACUUGUACUCAGUAGUUCACUAUGCGAGUAUGCGAGAAAGAUGGGCAAUCAAUUUUGACAAUUAAUAUCCAUGUUCAAGUAAACUCGAUCACGCUAACGUGGGACAUCGAAUGUUUGUAUGUGUUUGUGUGUCACUUUCUCAACUAGCGAUAUAUUGCAAAGUGUCCGAAAAUUCCUUGAAGAAACUAAAAAAAACGCAAUUAAAGACUUCAAAUGGCCUACACGCGCGUGAAAUGUUUUAAAUACAUACAGACAGCUGCUUAAAUAUUUUCUAUUAGUUUCUUUUUUUUUUCUUCGUGAUGAAUAGUUAUCGAAGAUGGUAGGCAUUUUUCGUAAAAUCGACACGGAUCUUAUAAUAAGUCGAGUCUUCCUUCGAUUUUGUUUCUUUCUCGUUUUUUUUUU